rnacentral:tRNA from 1 species
CAAUUACAUAGUCUUGUCAAGACUAAAUCACAGGUGAAACUCCAGUACAUCUUA